GACAGAGGUCUCGAGCGUUAGGCGGAAUCACUGGGCUUAAAGCGUGUGUAGGCGGACUGGUAAGUACUUUGUGAAAUCCCCCGGCUCAACCGGGGAACUGCUUGGUAUACUGCCGGUCUUGAGCCACUUAGGGGCAGCUGGAACAAACGGUGGAGCGGUGAAAUGCGUAGAUAUCGUUUGGAACGCCAAAGGUGAAAACAGGCUGCUGGGAGUGUGCUGACGCUGAGACACGAAAGCCAGGGGAGCAAACGGGAUUAGAUACCCCGGUAGUCCUGGCCGUAAACGAUGUCCACUAGAUCAUGGCAGCUCUGACGUUGUCAUGGUCGAAGCAAAAGUGCUAAGUGGACCGCCUGGGAAGUACGGUCGCAAGGCUAAA
rnacentral:rRNA from 1 species